GACGAACGCUGGCGGCGUGCUUAACACAUGCAAGUCGAACGGAAAGGCCCUGCUUUUGUUGGGUGCUCGAGUGGCGAACGGGUGAGUAACACGUGAGUAACCUGCACUUGACUGUGGGAUAACUUCAGGAAACUGGGGCUAAUACCGGAUAGGAGCUCCUGCUGCAUGGUGGGGGUUGGAAAGUGUCGGCGGUUGGGGAUGGACUCGCGGCUUAUCAGCUUGUUGGUGGGGUAGUGGCUUACCAAGGCUUUGACGGGUAGCCGGCCUGAGAGGGUGACCGGCCACCUUGGGACUGAGAUACGGCCCAGAAUCCUACGGGAGGCAGCAGUGGGGAAUAUUGCACAAUGGGCGGAAGCCUGAUGCAGCAACGCCGCGUGCGGGAUGACGGCCUUCGGGUUGUAAACCGCUUUCGCCUGUGAUGAAGCGUGAGUGACGGUAAUGGGUAAAGAAGCCCCGGCUAACUACGUG
rnacentral:rRNA from 1 species